CCUACGGGAGGCAGCAGUGGGGAAUAUUGGACAAUGGGCGAAAGCCUGAUCCAGCCAUGCCGCGUGUGUGAAGAAGGCCUUCGGGUUGUAAAGCACUUUUGUCCGGAAAGAAAUCGCGCUGGUUAAUACCUGGCGUGGAUGACGGUACCGGAAGAAUAAGCACCGGCUAACUACGUGCCAGCAGCCGCGGUAAUACGUAGGGUGCGAGCGUUAAUCGGAAUUACUGGGCGUAAAGCGUGCGCAGGCGGUUUUGUAAGACAGGCGUGAAAUCCCCGGGCUUAACCUGGGAAUUGCGCUUGUGACUGCAAGGCUAGAGUGCGUCAGAGGGGGGUAGAAUUCCACGUGUAGCAGUGAAAUGCGUAGAGAUGUGGAGGAAUACCGAUGGCGAAGGCAGCCCCCUGGGACGUGACUGACGCUCAUGCACGAAAGCGUGGGGAGCAAACAGGAUUAGAUACCCUGGUAGUCCACGCCCUAAACGAUGUCAACUAGUUGUUGGGGAUUCAUUUUCUCAGUAACGUAGCUAACGCGUGAAGUUGACCGCCUGGGGAGUACGGUCGCAAGAUUAAAACUCAAA
rnacentral:rRNA from 1 species